rnacentral:rRNA from 1 species
GUAUAAGUUGUUACGAGCACACGGUGGAUGCCUUGGCAUCAGGAGCUGAUGAAGGACGUGGAAAUAUGCGAUAAGCCUGGGGAGCUGAUAAACGAGCUGUGAUCCGAGAGUUCUGCCGAAUGUGGGUAACCCGGCUGCGUGUUAUGCGUAGUCACUCGUAUCUAAAUUCAUGGGUGCGAGGAGGAACGUGGGGAAGUGAAACAUCUCAGUACCCAUAGGAAGAGAAAACAACAGUCAUUCCGUGAGUAGUGGCGAGCAGAAAGCGGAUGGUGGCUAAACCGGUUGUGUGUGAUACCUGGCGAGGGUUGCAUGAUCGGGGUUGUGGGAUGCGUUGUUCCUGGGGUCGCCACCCUCGGGCGCUGUGGCGUGGUGGUAGUCGAACUGGUGGUGAGUGCCAGACCGUAGGGGGUGUGAGUCCCGUAGACAGAAACUGUCAUUGUCGUAGUAACAUUCUCCCGAGUAGCACGGGGCCCGUGAAAUCUCGUGAAUCUGCAGGACCACCUGGUAAGCCUGAAUACUUCCUGAUGACCGAUAGCGGAUCAGUACCGUGAGGGAAUGGUGAAAGGUUCCCCGGGAGGGGAGUGCAAUCGUACCUGAAACCGUGUGCUUACAAGCCGUUGGAGCCUUUAGGGUGACAGCGUCCCUUUGAAGAAUGAGCCUGCGAGUUAGUGUUACGUCGCGAGAUUAACCGUGUGGGGUAGUCGUAGCGAAAGCGAGUCUGAAUAGGGCGUUGUGAGUGGCGUGAUCUGACCCGAAGCGGGUGAUCUACCCAUGGCCAGGUUGAAGCGCGUGUAAGAGCGCGUGGAGGACCGAACCCACUUCAGUUGAAAAUGGAGAGAUAAGCUGUGGGUAGGGGUGAAAGGCCAAUCAAACUCCGUGAUAGCUGGUUCUCCCCGAAAUGCAUUUCGGUGCAGCGUUGCGUGUGCUUGCUGGAGGUAGAGCUACUGGAUGGCUGAUGGGCCCUACAAGGUUACUGACGUCAACCAAACUCCGAAUGCCAGUAAGUUGAGCGCGGCAGUGAGACUGGGUACGCCAUAGUCGAAAGGGAAACGGCCCAACCAUCAACUGAGGGCCUAAGCGUGUGCUAAGUGGGAAAGGAUGUGGAGUUGCUUCGUGGAGUUCGCCACACAAUGAGGAGGUUGGCUCAGCAGCUCACCCUCGAAAGAGUGCGUAUAGCUCACUGGUUAAGCGAUCCGCGCCGAUAAUGUAGCGGGGCUCAAGUACACCGCCGAAGUUGUGGCAUGACACCGUAUAGCCAGCCGUUCGUGGUUGAGGUGGUGUUGCGGGGAGGGUAGCGUCGUCUGGGUAGUGAGCUGCGGGGUGACCCGAGUGGUGGAACCUCAACGAGUGAGAAUGCAGGCACGAGUAGCGAUAGACGGUGAUAGAAACCCGCUCCGCCGGAUGAUCAAGGGUUCCAGGGUCAAGCGCACUCGCCUGGGUGAGUCGGGACCUAAGGCGAGGCCGACAGGCGUAGUCGAUGGACAACGGGUUGAUAUUCCCUACCCACGAAGAACCGACCCGACCCCAACCGGCACACUAACCACCCAACCACCAUGACCGUCCGCCCUCGCGGUACGCGGGUGUGCGGGGAGCGUGGACCGAUCCGGGAGGUAAACGUGUUAACAGGUGUGACGCGAGGAAGGUAGCCGAGCCAGGGCGAUGGUUGUCCCUGGGCUGCAAGCAUGAGGGGUGACCCGUUGGUAAAUCCUGCGGUUGUGUGCCGACACGUGAUGGACUCUAGGUGAGGAAAUUGGCGACCUAUGCUGCCAAGAAAGCAUCGACGUGAGGUUCUACUGCCGUACCCCAAACUGACACAGGUGAUCAGGUAGAGAAUACUAAGGCGUUCGAGAGAAUCAUGGUUAGCAAUUGUAAACGCCCCGUAACUUCGGGAGAAGGGGGCCCGUCUGGUGAGCACACGUGCUGUGAGUGGUGGGGUCGCAGAGGCUAGGGCAAGCCGACUGUUUAUCAAAAACACAGGUCCGCGCGAAGUCGUAAGACGAUGUAUACGGACUCACUCCUGCCCGGUGCUGGAGGUUUAAAGAGGACCUGUUAGACCCUUGGGUCGAAGCGGUAAUCCAAGCCCCAGUACGGUGGUGGCAACGAUAACCACCGAAGGUAGCGAAAUUCCUUGUCGGUAAGUUCCGACCUGCACGAAUGGAAGACCACUUCCCACUGUCUAACCAUGGAACUCGGCGAAAUUGCAGUACGAGUAGACGCUCGUUCGCGCAGCAGGACGGAAAGACCCCGAGACCUUUAUCGGUGUUGCGCUGCCGUGGCAGCAGCCUAGGUUGCCAAGCUAUCACGCUAGUGGUGGUGGAGUUGUUGUUGAAUAUGACUUGUUACUUGGACAUCUAACUUCGGCCCCGUGAUCGGGUCAGGACAGUGCCUGAUGGUAGUUUAACUUGGCGUGGUUGCCCGGAGAGUAAUGGUGCCCCUAAAGGUUCCCUAGCUGGUCUGGCAAUCAGGUGUUGAGUGUAAGUGCACAAGGAAGCUCCACUGCUAGAGUGACAGCUCAGCAGGGAGAAGUCGGGACUAGUGAUCCGGCGGUACAUUGUGGAAUGGCCGUCGCUUACGGAUAAAAGGUACCUCGGGGGAUAACAGGCUGAUCUUGCCCAAGAGUCGAUAUCGACGGAAUGGUCUGGUACCUCGAUGUCGGCUGGUCGAUCUGGGGCUGGAGUUGGUCCUCAAAGGGUUGGCUGGCUCGCCCAUUAAAGCGGUACGCGAGUGGAAGUUCGAUAAAACGCCGCUGUACAGUUCGGUCCCUAUCCGCUGCGUGCGUUGGAAAUUUGUGGAGGCCUGUCCUUAGUACGAUAACUGGGGCAACGGACCAACCUCUGGUAUGUCAGUUGUCGCCAGGGAGCAUCGCCUGAUUAGCUACGUUCGGGAUUGAUAACCGCUGAAAGCAUCUAAGCGGGAAGCUUGCUCCGAGAUGAGAUUUCCUAACCCCCACUGAGGGGUGUGAGGUGCCCAGUACAAUGACUUGGGGUCGAUAAGCCGUAGGUGUGGAAGCGUUGCAAGGCGUGGAGCCUACUGGUAAUCAAUACACCGAAGACUUAUACAC